GCUGGCCGUGGUCGACCCGGACGGCGGGCCCCUGGGCUGGGCCGCCACCGCCGGUCUUCCGGAGAGCGGGACGUUCGAGGCGGUGCCGCUCGCGCC
rnacentral:tRNA from 1 species